GACUAAUGAACUUGUACAAGUAUAUAUUUUGAAAAUAUAAUAAAGAGACAUAGAUUCUCUAUUAGUUU
rnacentral:tRNA from 1 species